CGGCGUUCCAAUUCAUCCCAAGGUGUUCAAUGGGGUUGAGGUCAGGGCUCUGUGCAGGCCAGUCAAGUUCGACAGACCGUUUCUGUAUGGACCUGGCUUUGUGCACGGGGCAUCAUGCUGAAACAGGAAAGGGCCUUCCCCAAACUGUUGCCACAAAGUUGGAAGCACAGAAUCGUCUAGAAUGUCAUUGCAUGCUGUAGAGUUAAGAUUUCCCUUCACUGGAAAUAAGGGGCCCCACCAUAAACCACCACAGACCAUUAUUCUUCCUCCACCAAACUUUACAUUUGGCACUCUGCAUUGGGCAGGUAGUGUUCUCCUGGCAUCCGCCAAACCCAGAUUAGUCCGUCAGACUGACAGAUCGUGAAGCGUGAUUCAUCACUCCAAAGACUGCAUUUCCGCUGGUCCAAUGGUAGCGAGCUUUACACCACUCCAGCCGAUGCUUUGCAUUGCGUAUGGUGAUCUUAGGCUUUUGUGCACCUGCUCAACCAUGGAAACCCAUUUCAUGAAGCUCCCGACGAACAAUUAUUGCGCUUACGUUGCUUCCAGAGGCAGUUUGGAACUCGGAAGUCCCAUUCUGUGAGCUUGUUGUUGCUCCUAGACGUUUCCGCCUCACAAUAACAGCACUUCGUUGACAGGACAGAAAUGUGACGAACUGACUUGAUGGAGGGGUGGCAUCCUAUGACGGUGCCACGUUAAAUCACUGAGCUCUACAGUAAGGCCAAUGUUUGUCUAUGGAGAUUGCAUGACUGUCCUUGGUUUUAUACACCUGUCAGCAACAUUGGUGGCUGAAAUAGCCAAAUCCAAUCAUUUGAAGGGCUGUCCACAUACUUUUAUCUCGGUUUCACUCGGUUUGAGAACAUUUUCUCGCAUUUGGGGCCUAUUGACAGGGGCUCAGUACCUGAGACGUAUUAAUGCUAUGCUAAUGAAAAUAAGAGGAGCAGAGCCUAACCCCAGAGGAGCAGAGCCUAACCCCAGAGGAGCAGAGCCUAACCCCAGAGGAGCAGAGCCUAACCCCAGAGAGCAGAGCCUAACCUAACCCCAGAGGAGCAGAGCUUUUUUAGUGGUUUAGAUGGACAUAUUGUACACAUACUGUACACCGAGACCUUGAUACAAGCAAGCUUCCAGUCAAUGAAAAGGCAGCUAAAAGAGUGUGCAUGCACAGCUCAAUUCUGAUGUGUUUUUCCUUACAAAAUGGUCUUUUGACCAAUCAGAUCAGCUCUUAAAAAGAUCAGAAUUGGCCAGCCUGUGUGUUGCAUGUGAAUGUGUUGCUUGUGCCUGCCACUGCGUGCACAGUGUCCCGUUCCAGCCGGUGGCAGUGGAUGUUCCCCUGUUGUCACACGUACUGCUGGGGCUGUUUCUGCGGGGCGGCGGCCGAGGCCAGGGUCUUGGCUUUCUCUGUAGCAGUCUUCACUGUGUCCCGGACGCAGGGCUGGCGCUGGGGUGCCUCUCCUGUGGGCAGAAGAUGAGAGAGACAUUGGGUGAGUGUGUAUACAGUAAACUAACCAACUCGGUUCCAAAACUGGUGGUACCAUGAAUGCAAAAUGUGAACAUGGAGUGAAUGAAUACAACUCCACAUUACUUCAAAGAUUUGAUAUCCUGAGUCUAAAAGUGUGUGGUGUGUGUGUGUGUGUGUUGGAAAGAUCACAAGGCUCAGGUAACAGGACUCUUGUCAUGAUGAGGAAGCCAGCAGGACUUCUGGUCAGGGGUUUGUUCCUGGGUCAGCAUUCUCUCUAACAGUGUGUGUGGUUGGUUUUACUAUCCUUGUGGGUACCAGAAGUCCUCACAAGGAUAGCAAAACAAGGAACAUUUGACAAGUGGGGAUAUUUUG
rnacentral:lncRNA from 1 species